rnacentral:rRNA from 1 species
CCUGGGAGGCAGCAGUGAGGAAUAUUGGUCAAUGGGCGCGAGCCUGAACCAGCCAAGUCGCGUGAGGGAUGAAGGUUCUAUGGAUCGUAAACCUCUUUUAUAAGGGAAUAAAGUGUGGGACGUGUCCUAUUUUGUAUGUACCUUAUGAAUAAGGAUCGGCUAACUCCGUGCCAGCAGCCGCGGUAAUACGGAGGAUCCGAGCGUUAUCCGGAUUUAUUGGGUUUAACGGGUGCGUAGGCGGCCUUUUAAGUCAGCGAGGAAAGUCUGUGGCUCAACCAUAGAAUUGCCGUUGAAACUGGGGGGCUUGAGUAUGUUUGAGGCAGGCGGAAUGCGUGGUGUAGCGGUGAAAUGCUUAGAUAGCACGCAGAACCCCGAUUGCGAAGGCAGCCUGCCAAGCCAUGACUGACGCUGAUGCACGAAAGCGUGGGGAUCAAACAGGAUUAGAUACCCUGGUAGUC